AGCAGGCCAAACAAUUAGCAAUGGAACUGGAAGGUUCAGACAAGAAAUUAUCGGAGGUUCUUACUCAGGAUCACAAGAGGAUGAAAUACAUGGAUGGCAUGUUCACUGAUCCUGUUGACAUCAACAGGAGGCCCUCUCUUGUGGCAAAACGCAGCUCAAGGAAGUCAACACACCUGAAGACACCAACAAACCUGCUGAUACUGACAAAAGUAAAGGUGCCCUACCUGCGUCUUACUUCAAGGGAUCUUCCAAGGCUCUGGUGGAGAUGGAGCUGCGACGACAGAAUGAAGAGGUGAACAAGGACAUCAUCAAAGACCUUCAGGACAAUGACAGCCUCAGGAAACAAAAGGAGGAGCUGAUGGAGAGUUAUAUGCCAAGCUGAAGGUGUUGAAGGAGGAGAAACUGUCACUGCAGCAGGAGAUCGAGGAGAACGAGGAUCUGGGCAAGAAGGUGUGUGAGGUGGUUGAGAGACAGGCCCA